rnacentral:rRNA from 1 species
UAUCAAAAACAUUUCUUCUAAAUGUUAGAGGUAGUCCCUGCUCACUGCUUAGGUAAAGAGCCGCGGUAUUGUGACUGUGCUAAGGUAGCAUAAUAAUUUGCUUUUUAAUUGGGGGCUUGAAUGAAGGGGGUUGACGAAAUAAAAACUUUUUUAAAAGGUUGGUAUAAUUUUAUUUUUAAGUGAAAAAGCUUAGAUUUAUUAAAGAGACGAGAAGACCCCAAGAAUUUAGAUUUAUUAGUUUAGUUUGAUUUAUUAUUAGUUUAAUUGAAUAAGGAAUCUUGGCUGGGGCGGUUUGUGAAUAAAUUAACUUCAUAAUUUAUUUAACUAUUAUUAGGAUGAUUGAAGUUUUAAGAAUUUGAUUGUAAAGUUACCUUGGGGAUAACAGCGUGAUUUUAAUUUAAAGUUCAUAUAAAAAUUAAAGUUUGCGACCUCGAUGUUGGAUUAAGGGUAAAUAUAAAAGUAGCAUUUUAUAAUUUAGGUCUGUUCGACCUUUAAAACC